UAAUCGCAUGCUUUCUUUAGUUGUGUUCCACAACCAAGUUGGUAUUUGGCAAUGAAUUUGGUUCUCAGAAAAAACCAGUACCUCCAAUUUAUUCUGAAACCAUAGGAAACUCCUUCAGGUUGCAUGAUGACAAUCCUAUUCUAGUGAACUUCGGAAGAGUAGCAUUGGUACUGUUAUUUGCAAGCACUGUUAAUUUGUUAAAUGACAGUUGGAAUUCCCUAAGGUCUGGGAGCUUCAGAAAAAUGUCUAGAUCAAGUUUACCACUCAAAUUGUUAUAACCAAGAUGAAUAAGUUCAAGAUCCUCGAGUAGAGAGAUUGAGCUUGGAAUCAUGCCAUAGAGUUGAUUGUAUGAAAGGUUAAGAAUUAUUAAUCCAGUGAGUUCCCUAGCCAAGAUGAGAUUUGACCAACUAGUUCAUUUGAGCUAACGUUCAUGUAGGACGGCUCGGUCAGAUUACCAAGCGAAGCUGGAAUCGUCCCGGAGAAAUUGCAAAGUGCUAAAUCCAAUAGACUUAAGGAUUCAAGAUUGCCAAUAGUACUUGGUAGUGUUCUGGAGAAACCCGUCUUUCUAACUUCCAAUCUCUUGAGGGGACAUCUAUGGUGAAAUUUUGGCAUGCUCAAUUUGUUUUUGUUUUUUGUGAAAUUCUGGUGUGCCAAUAGUACUUGGUCCUUGUAGGUUGAAAUAAAAUGCUCAAUUUGUAUUUUUUAUGGACAAGGGUGUCACAGAGCCUCAAGGGAUAUGCAAUGUAACUUUAAUCAUCAGUCCAUACCUCAACCCAUGUGAAGGUCAUAGGUUCUGGCCAACUGACCAACUGGGUGGCUCACUUUCUAGGUUGAUGAGAAAAAUGAUAGAUUGAAUAGAAAUUGACCAUCUAGGUUGCUUACGUUUUGUAUAGAACUUCCAGGAAAGAAAAUCAGUUUGACUUAGCAUGGCUUAUUUUCUAAUUGUGGAUGAUAAAGGUAAUAGAAAGUUUCUGGAUUAUUUAGUUGUAGUGUAGCAGCAUUGGAAAUUUUUCCCUGGGAACAUGCAGUUACUUCGUACUUGUGGAUUUCACAAAAGUGGGAAUCAAGGCCAUAUGCCAACUUUUGUAGAAAACUUUCUCCAUUGUCUCCUACAAUUUGCGUGGCGACAGAACAUUUUCAAAUGCUUCUAUAAUAUGCUUUUCAAGGGAUUUCCCGACGAAUGUAAUUCGUUGAAGUCAUUGAGGGAUGGAGCAUUGGAGAUUGGGUCCUCUGCCAGGCGGGCAAAAGAGUUUACAAGUUAUUUUUGGGAACGUCAAGUGUCUCUUUUCAUGGCGGAAAUGGAUUCUUGUAGCAUCAGCAAUCGCAGUUAUGAAAGUUCUUCAAAGCUGGCAUAUAUUACAUCUAUUCGAAGGAAUUGCAUUAUCUGAGUUGGAAUUUUCCGACAUCAUUUUUUUUCUAUUCAAAUUUCUGUUGUUUUCAGAGGCCAUGAAGGAUGUAUGAGAUUGUCGAUGAUAGAAAAAUGCAGAAAGUGCUUGAAAUCGCGAAGAGCCAAAAUGAUUUCUGUACUGUUGUGUUUUCAUUUUUUACAGCUCUACAAGACUUUAUACCUCCUCCCAACCCGUUGGAGAAAAAUUAAACCAUCUUCUGACGGUUCCAUGUUGCAAUAAUAAAGAGGAGUGAACUUUGGAUGCAGUGUAGGAAUAAAUGAAAGAGCUUAUUUUCCCCUUUCCGACAUUUCUGGUAUUUUAUUUUAGCUACUUCUCUUCAGUUGUGAGGAAGUCCAUGAUGACGUCUCAAAAUUAUAAUGUAUUACCAGUAAACCAGCAGGUGCGAUGCUGACCUGCCGCUCAGGUGGCCAGUUCAAGAUUCCUGUAGUCAUCCAUGGUGCUGCAUCUUGAGUCAUAUUUUCAGCCCAUUACUGGGAUCGAUAUGGUCGCUGCUCAACGGCUUGUAAUGCAAUGCCUAUUGAAGCUUACCAUUGGGAGGUCUUUCUACACGUACGUGUACUUUCUACAACUGCAAUAGAUGAUAUAUACUGUCAUAGAAGAGGCAGAGAAUUCUCUCAUUCUGAAAUUAGGAUUCUAAAGGGCGUGUACUUCAGCAUAUUUUGUUUCUGAAAGGAAUAGAUGUGGGCUUUCAAGAUGCUGAAAGCCCACAUCGAUUCAUGUAUACUUUAUCUUAUCUGAGGUUUCCUAGUUGUUUUGAGCAAUACCAACAGGCACCGAGUGCUGUGAUGAUUUAGCUUUUAACCAUGCUGAGUUAUCGUUUCCACUAAGUGGCAACUCCGAUAUUUUCCUCUGGAAUAGGUUAAUUUGUGCUUCCGGGUUUUUUUUUUUUUAAUCUUGGAGUGGUCGUUCUCGUCGUUAUUGUGACUAAGAAUUUUGGAUGCGGCAUGUGAUUUGGUCUUCCUACUCAUUGGAGUUUCUCAUGUUUCUUCUUGAAAUGGUGGUACUCAGUUAUUGCAGGGAGUAAAGCUGGACACUGGACAGUAAGCUGGUUCUUCACAAGCCAAGGCAAGUCAUGAAGACAAAAUAAGACACCCCCACAUACAGACAUGAAAAGAGCAUUCAAAAUCACUGGUAAAAAAAAUUUGAAUUUCGUCGAAUCUUUUCGAGUUGGUCUUCAAGUCUUCUCAUAUGGGUUACAAAAUCACCCAACAUUUUUACUUGUUUAAGGCUGGCUGUUGAUAGUUCUAGAUGGAUACCUCCCAGAGGUAAAGUUCUGUAACUUUAAUAUAGGCGCAGCAGUUCCAUUCAUGGCCAAGUUUCUUUUGGCAUGCCAUUCUUACUAUCACCCUCCCAAUUCGAAGUUUUUUUCCUGGAAGUUUCCACCUUGCUGACUAUGACAACAGUCGCGACUAUGAACAGACUCACGACUAUGGCAGGGCGGAACGCCGACUAUGACAACAGUCGUGACUAUGAACAGACUCAUGACUAUAGCAGGGCGGAGCGCCUAAAUUAUUGUUAUUUCUUUCCUCUCUUCUAAUUUACACAACAACAUCCUUAUAUCUGGUGUUUAAGAUGCCAUGUUGAAGCUUUAUACCACCUACUACUUAGCCUCAUCAUGUGAUUGACUAACUAGAUACACACAGAUACACCAGUUUACCAGCAACAACAGAAAGUACAUGGUUGCACAAUUGAGCAUUAUUUUAGCUAUAUAAGCAUAGCAUACAAGAGGUAUUAGUUUCCUUUUCCUAAUUAAGAGGUUGGAUUGUGAAUUUGGCAAUGAUUGUACCAGUUCUACAGCAGGGUGGAAUCCUCUAAGUUGACUGGGAUGCGAAUGUACCAAUAGGAAGAUGACACAAAGCAACUCCUCUAAAAGGAACCAAAAAUGUCCCUUGCUCAUUGUUCUAUUUCAAGUCUCUGUUAACCCCAAGGGGUAGCUCAAGUGGCAACAAGAAUGAGCUGUAAACUCAGACAUCCUGAGUUGAAAACUUGGCAACCUCUUGGGGCCAAGCUGCAACGGUGAAAUCUUUUUUGAAUUCCUUGGUACCGGUGUGGAUGGCAUGCCUUUGACCGGAUCGGGAAUGGGAAUAGUUGAGGUGCACGUAAGUUGUCCCAAACACCCCUUACCGUCUAACCAAAAAAGGAAAUUUCAGGUCUCUGUUGGUCUAUGGGGACCGCCUUUUCUCCACUUGACACGUUUGUUGCAUUAUUCUCUUCUCCAGCAGUCAGAAAAAAAAAAAAGCUUCUUUUGUUAAGUAGUUUCAGCUUCUUUUGUUUCAACCUUUUUAGGGUUAGUGUGUGUUUUUAGAAAGCUAGAGGUAUCUUGUGGACCAUUUCAGAAUAAAAGUAGUUUGUGGGUGUGAGGGCCAGAGAUUCAAUGUCUUAUAUCUGGAAUCAUACUCCAAAAAGAUUGUUCCGCAACCCAUUCAUGAUUCAACACAUGUACACCUCCACCUGAUUAGCUCUUUAUGUUUCUUUCUAUCCCUGGUCCAUUUUCCUGUAAGUUGCCGGGGCCGUCAGUAGUGUUGAUAAGCUUGGGGAUAGAUAAGGAAUUGACAGUAGGGUGUCAACUUUGAUCUGUUUCUUAGGCUGUGUUUGGAUAAUUAAUUUGAGGAGGGUUUUAUGGAUGGAAACAAAAGAUGAAAAACAAACGGAACCGAACCUGAGAUCGCCCCUGCUAAAGGUUGAAAGGCCAUGCUUGUUUUCUUUUGUGUUUGUUUUAGUGUAAUAAGUCCACCCUGCCAGAGCUUGAAAGGCCAAUCUAGUUUGGUUUGUGCUUGUUUAAUGCAAUCAGUUAUAUAUAUUACAGCUGAAAUCCUGUGGA